AGGGGUNAAAGGUUUUUGCUCUUAAGAUGAGUCGCGUAAGAUUNGCUNGUUGGUGAGGUAACGGCUCACCAAGGCGACGAUCUUUUACUUGUCUGAGAGGAUGAUCAGUCNCUCUGGAACUGAGACUCGGUCCAGGCUCAAACGGGAGGCAGCAGUUGGGAAUUUUGCACUAUGGAGGAAACUCUNAUGCNNGAGCGCCGCGUGAGUGAUGAAGGCUUCGGGUCGUAAAGCUCUGUCGCNGGGGAAUUACUCUAUGAAUGUUCCCUGUNAGAAAGGAUCCGGCGUUAAGUCAGAGUGAAAGCCAGGGCUCAACCCUGGAAGUGCAUUUGAUACUGCGAAGCAUGAGUCUCGGAGAGGUUACUAGAAUUGUUGGUGUAGUGGUGAAAUACGUAGAUAUCAACAGGAAUACCGGAGGCGAAGGCGGGUAACUGGCCGAACACUGACACUGAGAUCCGAAAGCGUGGGGAUCAAACAGGAUUAGAUACCCUNGUAGUCCACGCCGUAAACGAUGGAUACUUGUUGUUGGAGGUAUUGACACCUUCAGUGACGAACUAACGCGUUAAGUAUCCCGCCUNGGGAGUGGUGUUAAACGGGAGGAAGGUGGGGAUGACGUAAAGUCCUCAUGGCCCUUAUGCCUAGGGCUACACACGUGCUACAAUGGUAGUCACAGAGNGAAGCUAAGCGGCGAGGUAGAGCANAUCGCUUAAAAGCUAUCUAAGUUCAGAUUGAUCUCUGCAACUCGAGAUCAUGAAGUUGGAAUCGCUAGUAAUCGCGGAUCAGAAUGCNGCGGUNAAUACGUU
rnacentral:rRNA from 1 species